rnacentral:rRNA from 1 species
AUAAUGACUCUCGGCAACGGAUAUCUCGGCUCUCGGAUCGAUGAAGAACGUAGCGAAAUGCGAUACUUGGUGUGAAUUGCAGAAUCCCGUGAACCAUCGAGUCUUUGAACGCAAGUUGCGCCCGAAGCCAUUAGGCCGAGGGCACGCCUGCCUGGGCGUCUCACA